rnacentral:rRNA from 1 species
AAUUAGUGGCGCACGGGUGAGUAAUGUAUAGUUAACGUGCCCCUUGGAGCGGGAUAACGUCUGGAAACGGACGCUAAUACUGCAUACUCCUUCUGAUCAUAAGUGAUGAAGGGAAAUGAAUUUCGCCAAGGGAUCGGACUGUAUUGUAUCAGCUAGUUGGUAAGGUAAUGGCUUACCAAGGCUAUGACACAUAGCGGGUCUGAGAGGAUGAUCCGCCACACUGGUACUGAGACACGGACCAGACUCCUACGGGAGGCAGCAGUGGGGAAUAUUGCACAAUGGACGCAAGUCUGAUGCAGCAACGCCGCGUGGAGGAUGACACAUUUCGGUGCGUAAACUCCUUUUAUAAGAGAAGAAAAUGACGGUAUCUUAUGAAUAAGCACCGGCUAACUCCGUGCCAGCAGCCGCGGUAAUACGGAGGGUGCAAGCGUUAUUCGGAAUCACUGGGCGUAAAGAGUAUGUAGGCUGGUUUUUAAGUCAGAUGUGAAAGCCCACGGCUCAACCGUGGAACUGCAUUUGAAACUGGAGACCUAGAGUAUGGAAGGUGCAGAUGGAAUUAGUGGUGUAGGGGUAAAAUCCGUAGAGAUCACUAGGAACACCGAAAGCGAAGGCGAUCUGCUGGUACAUCUACUGACGCUAAGAUACCGAAAGCGUGGGGGAGCCAAACAGGAUUAGAUACCCUGGGUAGUCCACGCCCUAAAACGAUGAAUGCUAGUCGUCGGGAACGCCUUGUCCGUUUUCCGGUGAUGCAGUUAACAACAUUAAGCAUUUCCCGCCCUGGGGA